GAGGAGGCAAAACUAAAAUGUACUAAAGUUCCUUUUGUAGGCUAGGGCACAGAGGUAGCAUGCUGUAAUUCCUUCUUUGACCACUAGAUGUCAGGAAUCCCAGAAGCCUAGUAGGGUAAAGUGCCAGCCCUGCCCCUGCUAUUAGAGGCGCAUGCUGGGUAAGGGUAUAGUGUGAAGGCACAAAGUCUCCUGAGGUGGCCGCCACAAGGAGAGUGAUUACCGUUCUUUCAAUGGGAGGACUGCACCAGAUAAGCAUGUAGGAAAACAGGAAGUGAGAGGAAAUCUCUAGGAUAAGGGUAUCCCCAUUUGCCACCAAGGUCACCAGAACUAGCAUCCCCAUUAAAAGAUUGCACCUCUAUUACUGUUCUGGGGACAACCCAAAAUUUAGGAUUUUCUUUCACUUUCUCUUGGUGAUAAACAGGACAAAUAGAGAGGAAGACAGGUGGAAACGCCGCACACUAGAACCCAGCUACUAGAUAGAAAGUAUUCACGUGAGAAACAUUAGUAUUAUUUUCCUUGAAUGAAAGUCAUGACAGACUUAUUCAUCCCAGAGUGAAGAUGAGAAACAGAUGUCUUUCCACUCCUCCCUCCUCCCACCGAGCAAAGGGAAAAUGGCCACCAUGUCCUGGAAUGUGAAGCCUCGUGGCCAGGAAGAGAUGUAAUGAGAGAAGACCAUAUGUGGAUGAGCCAAUCAGAUGCACCCAUAUGUGAUGACGUUUGCUUAUGUAACUUUGGCUAUAAAAGCUGUAACCUUAAUAAAGGGUUUCCUGUUUGAGUUGA